rnacentral:rRNA from 1 species
CAGCCGCCGCGGUAACACGUAGGUGGCAAGCGUUGUCCGGAAUUAUUGGGCGUAAAGGGCUCGCAGGCGGUUUCUUAAGUCUGAUGUGAAGGCCCCCGGCUCAACCGGGGAGGGUCAUUGGAAACUGGGAAACUUGAGUGCAGAAGAGGAGAGUGGAAUUCCACGUGUAGCGGUGAAAUGCGUAGAGAUGUGGAGGAACACCAGUGGCGAAGGCGACUCUCUGGUCUGUAACUGACGCUGAGGAGCGAAAGCGUGGGGAGCGAACAGGAUUAGAUACCCCCGUAGUCCCUGUCUCUUAUAC